rnacentral:pre_miRNA from 1 species
AAUAAAUCAAUUUGUCAGUUUUUCAUACUAUGUUUGACUCUUCGUCUUAUUUAAAAAAGUUUUACAAUUAAUAUUUUUAUUUUUAUUAGAUAAUAAAAUAUGAAUAGUACUUUAUGUGUGACUAAUUUUUUUAAUUUUUAAUAAAAAUUUCAAAUAAAACGGAUGAUCAAACGCUGUGCACGAAAACCAAAG